GAGUUUGAUCCUGGCUCAGAACGAACGCUGGCGGCGUGGAUUAGGCAUGCAAGUCGAGCGCGAAAGCACUUCGGUGCGAGUAGAGCGGCGGAAGGGUGAGUGAUGCGUAGACGACCUACCCUGUAUUCUGGGAUAACGUCGGGAAACUGACGCUAAUACCGGAUAGUCUCACUUUGUCGCAUGGCGAGGUGAUUAAAGGUAGCCUCUGAUUUAAGCUUUCGAUACAGGAGGGGUCUACGUCCUAUUAGCUUGAUGGUGGGGUAACGGCCCACCAUGGCGGUGAUGGGUAGCCGGCCUUAGCGGGCGAUCGGCCACACUGGGACUGAGACACUGCCCAGACUCCUACGGGAGGCUGCAGUCGAGAAUCUUCCGCAAUGGGCGCAAGCCUGACGGAGCGACGCCGCGUGGGGGAUGAAGGCCUUCGGGUUGUAAACCCCUGUCACCGGUUAGGAAUGGCCUUGCGAUUAAGAGUCGCUUGGUUUGACAAAAGCCGGAGAGGAAGCCACGGCUAACUUCGUGCCAGCAGCCGCGGUAAGACGAAGGUGGCAAGCGUUGUUCGGAAUCACUGGGCAUAAAGCGCACGCAGGCGGCGCGAUCAGUCGGAUGUGAAAUCCCUCGGCCCAACCGGGGAACUGCGUCCGAUACUGUCGGGCUUGAGAUCGGGAGAGGUGCACGGAAUUCCGGGUGGAGCGGUGAAAUGCGUUGAUAUCCGGAGGAACACCGGCGGCGAAGGCGGUGCACUGGUCCGAUUCUGACGCUGAGGUGCGAAAGCUAGGGUAGCAAACGGGAUUAGAUACCCCGGUAGUCCUAGCCGUAAACGAUGGGCACUAAGUAGUGGAUCACCUAACGUUUCACUGCUGGAGUUAAUAUUUUAAGUGCCCCGCCUGGGGAGUAUGGUCGCAAGGCUGAAACUCAAAGGAAUUGACGGGGGCUCACACAAGCGGUGGAGCAUGUUGAUUAAUUCGAAGCAACGCGCAGAACCUUACCUGGGCUUGACAUGGACGUGGUACGGACCCGAAAGGGCGAGGACUCUCUUUUGAGGGAGCGUUCACAGGUGUUGCAUGGCUGUCGUCAGCUCGUGUCGUGAGAUGUCGGGUUAAGUCCCUUAACGAGCGAAACCCCUAUCGUUAGUUACCAGCGCGUCAUGGCGGGGACUCUAGCGAGACUGCCGGUGUUAAACCGGAGGAAGGUGGGGAUGACGUCAAGUCCUCAUGGCCCUUACGCCCAGGGCUUCAAACGUGCCACAAUGGCCGGUACAGAGGGAAGCGAACCCGCGAGGGGGUGCAAAUCCCUGAAAGCCGGUCUCAGUUCGGAUUGGAGUCUGCAACUCGACUCCAUGAAGCUGGAAUCGCUAGUAACCGCGGAUCAGCUACGCCGCGGUGAAUAUGUUCCUGAGCCUUGUACACACCGCCCGUCAAGCCACGAGAGCUGGGAGUACCCGAAGUCGCUGACCCAACCUUAGGGAGGGAGGCGCCGACGGUAAGCUCGGUGAUUGGGACUAAGUCGUAACAAGGUAGCC
rnacentral:rRNA from 1 species